UACGGAGAGUGCAAACGUUGUUCGGAUUUACUGGGCGUAAAGGGCGCGUAGGCGGCCAGCACAAGUCAGUUGUGAAAUCUCCGGGCUUAACUCGGAAAGGUCAACUGAUACUGUGCGGCUAGAGUGCAGAAGGGGCAACUGGAAUUCUCGGUGUAGCGGUGAAAUGCGUAGAUAUCGAGAGGAACACCUGCGGCGAAGGCGGGUUGCUGGGCUGAUACUGACGCUGAGGCACGAAGGUCAGGGGAGCAAACGGG
rnacentral:rRNA from 1 species